rnacentral:rRNA from 1 species
ACAGAGGUCCCAAGCGUUGUUCGGAUUCACUGGGCGUAAAGGGUGCGUAGGCGGUCGGGUAAGUCUGACGUGAAAUCUUCAAGCUCAACUUGGAAACUGCGUCGGAUACUAUUCGGCUAGAGGAAUGGAGGGGAGACUGGAAUACUUGGUGUAGCAGUGAAAUGCGUAGAUAUCAAGUGGAACACCAGUGGCGAAGGCGAGUCUCUGGACAUUUCCUGACGCUGAGGCACGAAAGCCAGGGGAGCAAACGGGA